rnacentral:rRNA from 1 species
UGCGAAACUCGAAUGAACGAACGGGGAGAUUCAUCGUCAUUCCACGGCGUGGUGGUGCAUACACGAUGCCGUCUGCUUCGGCAUUGGCGGUACGCGUUGUGCCAUCCGACGUCCGUGGACGGCGUGCACUUCUCCCUUAGUAAUACAUCGCGACCCGUUCGAUGUCGGUCUAAGCGCCGUUCGGGAGCCACCUUUGCCCUCUCGGGGCGCAUCGGUGACCCUACGGUGGCCGACCGGCUGUCGGACGGUAUUUUUACGGAUCGCGUACGCGUUUAUGCGCGUCCGGCCCGACGCAAGGUAACGCAUUCACUCCCGUCCUGCCCGAGUGCGGGCGGGGAUGCUGCGCGCCUGUCGUCGCAGCCGUGCUGUCUCGGACUGUGCGCGUCCCGUGUCUGCGAUGAUUCAGUUUCGG